UACGGAGGGUGCAAGCGUUGCUCGGAAUCACUGGGCGUAAAGCGACCGCAGGCGGCCUGACAAGUCGGAUGUGAAAGCCCUGGGCUCAACUCAGGAAUUGCAUUCGAAACUGGCAGGCUUGAGUACGGGAGAGGGGGGUGGAAUUCCUGGUGUAGCGGUGGAAUGCGCAGAUAUCAGGAGGAACACCGGUGGCGAAGGCGGGUCUCUGGGCAGUAACUGACGCUGAGGAGCGAAAGCGUGGGGAGCGAACAGG
rnacentral:rRNA from 1 species